rnacentral:rRNA from 1 species
ACUCCUACGGGAGGCAGCAGUCGAGAGGCUUCGGCAAUGGGGGAAACCCUGACCGAGCGACGCCGCGUGGGCGAUGAAGGCCUUACGGUCGUAAAGCCCUGUCAGAGGGGAAGAAACACCGGGAUGAUAAUACCAUUCCGACUUGACGUUACCCUCAAAGGAAGCUCCGGCUAACUCCGUGCCAGCAGCCGCGGUAACACGGGGGGAGCAAACGUUGUUCGGAAUCACUGGGCGUAAAGGGCGUGCAGGCGGCCCGGUAAGUGAAACGUGAAAGACCCUGGCUCAACCAGGGAGGUGCGUCUCAUACUGCCAGGCUUGAGGAAGGGAGAGGAGACGGGAAUUCCCGGUGUAGCGGUGACAUGCACUGAUAUCGGGAGGAACACCAGUGGCGAAGGCGCGUCUCUGGCCCUAUCCUGACGCUCAGGCGCGAAAGCUGGGGGAGCAAACAGGAUUAGAUACCCUGGUAGUCCCAGCCGUAAACGGUGAACACUAGGUGUGGGGGGCAUCGACCCCUUCCGUGCCGUAGCUAACGCAUUAAGUGUUCCGCCUGGGGAGUACGAUCGCAAGGUUGAAACUCAAAGGAAUUGACGGGGGCCCGCACAAGCGGUGGAGCAUGUGGUUUAAUUCGAUGCAACGCGAAGAACCUUACCCAGGCUUGACAUGCAUCGGACAGGUGUGGAAACACACCCUCUCUUCGGAGUCGGUGCACAGGUGCUGCAUGGCUGUCGUCAGCUCGUGUCGUGAGAUGUUGGGUUAAGUCCCGCAACGAGCGCAACCCUUGCCCUUAGUUGCCAGCAUUUCGGAUGGGCACUCUNNGGGGACUGCCGGCGAUGAGCCGGAGGAAGGUGGGGAUGACGUCAAGUCCUCAUGGUCCUUAUGUCUGGGGCUACACACGUGCUACNAUGGNCNGGNNNNAAGGGNUGCGAUGC